rnacentral:rRNA from 1 species
UACGGAGGGAGCUAGCGUUAUUCGGAAUUACUGGGCGUAAAGCGCACGUAGGCGGCUUUGUAAGUAAGAGGUGAAAGCCUGGGUGCUCAACACCAGAACUGCCUUUUAGACUGCAUCGCUUGAAUCCAGGAGAGGUGAGUGGAAUUCCGAGUGUAGAGGUGAAAUUCGUAGAUAUUCGGAAGAACACCAGUGGCGAAGGCGGCUCACUGGACUGGUAUUGACGCUGAGGUGGCGAAAGCGUUGGGGAGCAAACAGGG